GGCAAAACUCAUUCAAAUUCUGAGGCAAUUCUCCCUUGAAGUGGGCCAUUCUUGACUCUACUUUAUGUGACUCUGGAAUUAAAGCAGAAUUUGUUGUCAUGAGGAUUGGAUGACUGAUGCUUUUUCACAAAAAGGAGCACAGAAUGGAAGCCGGCCAUGCCAUUGUUGCAAAUAUCAUGCCUAACCAAAAAUAACAGCUGCUGUCUUGUGAUGAGCAUUUACUCUGUGACAGUCACCAUUCUAAGCUCUUCUCACAUGUGGCCUCAUUUCACAGUUGUAAUAAUCCUGGAGGCACUGUUUAAACCCACUUUAUAGGAAACAGGAUGAGUUGCCAGCGCCACUUGCAAGAGGUCAUGGCUCCGGUGAUGAGGCAGGCAUGGAGCACUGGAGCAGGAGCCAGCAGACUGGGCUUUCAUUCUUCCUCCAACACUCACUGUGUUUUCCUGGGCAAGUCACUGAACCUCUAACGCCUCAGAUGCCUUGUCCAAAACAGGUAUAAGAACUACUCUGCUUCCUAAAGUGAUUAUCAUGGGGUCAAAAAAAAAAAAA